rnacentral:misc_RNA from 1 species
GACGGAGGGUGCAAGCGUUGUUCGGAAUCAUUGGGCGUAAAGGGCGCGCAGGCGGCCGUGCAUGUCUGGUGUGAAACCCCGGGGCUCAACUCCGGAGGCGCACUGGAAACUGCAUGGCUUGAGUCCGGGAGGGGUCUGUGGAAUUCCUGGUGUAGGGGUGAAAUCCGUAGAGAUCAGGAGGAACACCGAAGGUGAAAACAACAGACUGGACCGGGACUGACGCUGAGGCGCGAAAGCGCGGGUAGCGAACAGG